UGACAAGAUCAGUCGGUAGAGCAUGAGACUCUUAAUCUCAGGGUCGUGGGUUCAAGCCCCACAUAGGGCAAAA